rnacentral:rRNA from 1 species
GACGGGCAUGUCUAGUAUAAGCACUUGUACUGUGAAACUGCGAAUGGCUCAUUAAAUCAGUUAUCGUUUAUUUGAUUGUAACUUUACUACUUGGAUAACCGUGGUAAUUCUAGAGCUAAUACAUGCUGAAAAUCCCGACUUCAGGAAGGGAUGUAUUUAUUAGAUAAAAAACCAAUGCCUUUCGGGGCUCUUUGGUGAUUCAUGAUAACUUCGCGAAUCGCGUGGCCUUGCGCCGGCGAUGUUUCAUUCAAAUUUCUGCCCUAUCAACUUACGACGGUAGGAUAGUGGCCUACCGUGGUGUCAACGGGUAACGGGGAAUUAGGGUUCUAUUCCGGAGAGGGAGCCUGAGAAACGGCUACCACAUCCAAGGAAGGCAGCAGGCGCGCAAAUUACCCAAUCCCAACUCGGGGAGGUAGUGACAAUAAAUACUGAUGCAGGGCCUUUAGGGGUCUUGUAAUUGGAAUGAGUACAAUUUAAAUCCAUUAACGAGGAACAAUUGAAGGGCAAGUCUGGUGCCAGCAGCCGCGGUAAUUCCAGCUUCAAUAGCGUAUAUUAAAGUUGUUGCAGUUAAAAAGCUCGUAGUUGAACCUUGGGCCUGGGCGACCGGUCCGCCUCACCGCGUGUACUGGGAGCCUGGGCCUUUCCUUCUGGCGAACCUCAUGCCCUUUAUUGGGUGUGUUGGCAAACCAGGACUUUUACUUUGAAAAAAUUAGAGUGUUCAAAGCAGGCAUUUGCUCGAAUACAUUAGCAUGGAAUAAUAGAAUAGGACGUGCGGUUCUAUUUUGUUGGUUUCUAGGACUGCCGUAAUGAUUAAUAGGGAUAGUCGGGGGCAUCCGUAUUCAAUUGUCAGAGGUGAAAUUCUUGGAUUUAUUGAAGACGAACUACUGCGAAAGCAUUUGCCAAGGAUGUUUUCAUUAAUCAGGAACGAAAGUUGAGGGAUCGAAGACGAUCAGAUACCGUCGUAGUCUCAACCAUAAACUAUGCCGACUAGGGGUCGGGCGAUGUUUUUUUAUGACUCGCUCGGAACCUUACGAGAAAUCAAAGUCUUUGGGUCUGGGGGAGUAGCAUUC